rnacentral:rRNA from 1 species
AUGAACGCUGGCGGCGCGCCUAACACAUGCAAGUCGAACGGCACCUAUCUUCGGGUAGAAGCGAGUGGCGAACGGCUGAGUAACACGUGGAGAACCUGCCCCCUCCCCCGGGAUAGCCGCCCGAAAGGACGGGUAAUACCGGAUACCCCGGGGUGCCGCAUGGCACCCCGGCUAAAGCCCCGACGGGAGGGGAUGGCUCCGCGGCCCAUCAGGUAGACGGCGGGGUGACGGCCCACCGUGCCGACAACGGGUAGCCGGGUUGAGAGACCGACCGGCCAGAUUGGGACUGAGACACGGCCCAGACUCCUACGGGAGGCAGCAGUGGGGAAUCUUGCGCAAUGGGGGGAACCCUGACGCAGCGACGCCGCGUGCGGGACGGAGGCCUUCGGGUCGUAAACCGCUUUCAGCAGGGAAGAGUCAAGACUGUACCUGCAGAAGAAGCCCCGGCUAACUACGUGCCAGCAGCCGCGGUAAUACGUAGGGGGCGAGCGUUAUCCGGAUUCAUUGGGCGUAAAGCGCGCGUAGGCGGCCCGGCAGGCCGGGGGUCGAAGCGGGGGGCUCAACCCCCCGAAGCCCCCGGAACCUCCGCGGCUUGGGUCCGGUAGGGGAGGGUGGAACACCCGGUGUAGCGGUGGAAUGCGCAGAUAUCGGGUGGAACACCGGUGGCGAAGGCGGCCCUCUGGGCCGAGACCGACGCUGAGGCGCGAAAGCUGGGGGAGCGAACAGGAUUAGAUACCCUGGUAGUCCCAGCCGUAAACGAUGGACGCUAGGUGUGGGGGGACGAUCCCCCCGUGCCGCAGCCAACGCAUUAAGCGUCCCGCCUGGGGAGUACGGCCGCAAGGCUAAAACUCAAAGGGAUUGACGGGGGCCCGCACAAGCAGCGGAGCAUGUGGCUUAAUUCGAAGCAACGCGAAGAACCUUACCAGGGCUUGACAUAUGGGUGAAGCGGGGGAGACCCCGUGGCCGAGAGGAGCCCAUACAGGUGGUGCAUGGCUGUCGUCAGCUCGUGUCGUGAGAUGUUGGGUUAAGUCCCGCAACGAGCGCAACCCUUACUGUCAGUUACUACGCAAGAGGACUCUGGCAGGACUGCCGUUGACAAAACGGAGGAAGGUGGGGAUGACGUCAAAUCAUCAUGCCCUUUAUGACUUGGGCUACACACGUACUACAAUGGCGUUAAACAAAGAGAAGCAAGACCGCGAGGUGGAGCAAAACUCAAAAACAACGUCUCAGUUCAGAUUGCAGGCUGCAACUCGCCUGCAUGAAGUCGGAAUUGCUAGUAAUCGCGGAUCAGCAUGCCGCGGUGAAUGCGUUCCCGGGCCUUGUACACACCGCCCGUCACACCACCCGAGUCGUCUGCACCCGAAGUCGCCGGCCCAACCGCAAGGGGGGAGGCGCCGAAGGUGUGGAGGGUGAGGGGGGUG